AUGUUCCUUUACCAUUGGACAAGCUCGCUGUUCCUCCAACUGAAGGAGCUGAAUCCUCUAACGCCCUCAACAGGUCAGGAGCAUAUGUAGAGACUUUGGUAUUGUUUGUAUCCGCAGGGAAGGGAAGGAUAUUGAGAAAAUCAUAUUCGAUGAUGAAAUACUAUCUGAGAAUAAGAAUAACAUCAUUCCAGUAGACGAAAGAGUCCCGAAUCAAAUUAGUUCGACGAGAGUGAGGUAGGAGAUCGUGAAAUAUCUCAUCCCUGAUGAAGUUAUUGAUUACGUCGAGGAUCACAAGCUAUACUUGCUGUCAAAAAAUGAAUAGACUGUUCUUACGCUCUUAUUGGUUUCAGCUUAUUGGAUAGCGCCAUCUUCUCUACUGGGUAUUGCUUUAGCCAGAGCUCGAAGGUUCUCGCCAUAUUUGGCCGAUAUUAACAUUCCUCGAGCUGACGCAUAGCUCUAUACCUACGGGUAUCAGAUCAUUGUUUCUUUCAAUCAUCUGUAAAUAUAAACUUAGUGUUGUCUGAGUUGACCCAUAUCGGUAGAUUACACGAAUAUUAUUUGAUAUUUGAAAAUAUCCGGCACAGGAAGCAUUGCUUAAAACUACCUGCAGAUGGGAGUGAGGUUUUGCAAUUUUAUGCAACUUUGUUAUGCGGAACGUUGUAAGUAACACAUGAGGCCUGAAAUUCUAUAAA